GAAGACAAGUAAGGAGGUGGGGGUCAUGCUCCAUGGGUAUGACACCACAUGCGACGGCACUGGUGGCCGAGAAAAGAGAAAAAGGGCUCAACUAAAUGAGGGAAAAAAUAGAGUUUUCAUUUUGAUGGCUUUUUCGAUAAGUCUGAUGGCUGGCAGCCAUGCGCAAUAGCAUAGAAGUGCCUUCAACGGAAGAAACCAAGGAGAAAGGAG
rnacentral:lncRNA from 1 species